rnacentral:tRNA from 1 species
GCGGAUGUGGCGUAACUGGCAGCCGCGCCAGACUUAGGAUCUGGUGCCGAAAGGCGUGGGGGUUCGAGUCCCUCCAUCCGCA